AGUGAUCAUACAAAUGCAAGGAGGAAUUCAUCAGAAGCCGACUGUCAUCCCUAAAGAUGAUGUAUCAUUUAAGACUUGGUUGCUCUUGAGACAUCACAGGUGAAUGAUAAAACAAUAAAGAUCCAAUAAAUUGGCAAAAUAUGUGUAAAUAUGACAUCUGGUUCCCAGUCUGACAUGCACGAAGCUUGGAAGUCAUCACCUCCUUCCUUACAACAGGAAAACAGCCGAACAAACUGAAAAUCAACAACUCUUUUUAGAGCCAUCAGAAUUGAAGUCACAGGACUAACUACUGCCCUGAGAACUGGACAGACAGAUGGAUAUGGAGAAUCAAAACUUACCAGGAGCAGAAAGAAGCCCACAGCUGAGCCAAUAUCAGAACAUUUUAAACUAUAACUGGUUGUUGAGGGCUCAGUGUAUACUAGCUGGAGAGUUAAAAAUUCCAAAGGAGUCCAGGCUUAGAGGAGCUCCCACAUUUUGCCCUAUUGGGUUCCUAUUGUGAUGAUUACUAAAUAAUCCCCUAGUGCAUCCCAGAGAGAGAAGGAAAAUGUAAACCUUGUCGGAUUAUGCCGAGUUCUCUGUUCUCCUUAGCAAAACCUGCCCUGAAAGGAAACUGUUUUCCCAGAGCCUAACCCACUGGGGUUAUACCAGUUUAAUUGACAUGGGGAUAGAAAAACACCUAAUUCCAGCCCCUUGUAGCCUUUUAUGUGGGGAAAUAGAAAUACCCAAUUCAAUCUCACUAAAAGACAGAGCCCUAAUCAUAGAAUCAUAGAAUAAUCCCCUUCCUCACUCAGUUUACCACCACCUCAAUAGAGUUCCUGUAAAAUAAUAGGUGAUUACAGAUAAAUGAACCUUAAACUUCAGAUAUGACUGAAGUCUCUAGGGACACCUGAAAACAACAGGAGAGACACAAAGGAUGAUACAAGAGAAAAGCUAAGCUUCUGACAGAAAGGCUACAGCAAACAAUAAAAACAACUUAACUUCCAGUCUGAUAACCAUAAAGCUUCACCUGAAGGUCUAUCUACAUUAGUUCCAUUUACCUGGCACAUCAUGCCUGGUUUCAACAAAAAAUUACAAGGCAUGCUAAAAGGUAAAACCCAAAAUGUGAUGAGAUAAAUUGAGUCUGAGAAUCAGAUUCAUAAAUGGCAGGGGUUUUAGAAUUAUCUGAUAAAUAAUUUAAAAUAACUAUGAUGAAUGUGCUAAGGGUUUAAACAGAAAGUGUAGACCCCUCGCAAGAACAGAUAAGUAAUAAAUAGAAACAGAGUGAUGGAAACGCAAGAAUCAAAAGGUAAUGUUACAAGUCAAAGAUAUUUUUAAAAAAUAAAAAUAAAAAAAUGUAGUUAAUGAAUAGGCUGGACAUGGUCAAGGAAGAAAUCAAAGAACUUGAAGACAUGUCAGUAGAAACUUCCAAAACUGAAAUGUGAAGAAAAAAGAAUGAAAAAUAUGGAACAGAAUAUCCAAAAAUUAUAAUGGAAAUCCCAGAAGAAGAAAAUAAAAAAGGAACAGAAGAAAUAUUUGAAGAAAUAAUGACUGAGAAUUUGCCAAAAUUAAUGACAGUCACUAAACUACAGAUCCAGGAAGCUCAGUGACUAUCUAGCAUAAGAAGUACAAAAAUAAAAACAAAACAACAACAACAAACAAAGAAACAAACAAAACCCCCCAAGGAAUAUCCUAUCCGAGCUGCAGAAAAUAAAAUACUAAGAGAAAUCUUGAAGAAGAAAAGUUGUGACUCUGAGUCUUCCAGAUAUUAACUAUCUUUGACAGGACAUUGGAAAAAGUGAUUGAAUAACAAACAUAAAAUAUUUGAUACAUGAAAUAUGAAGCAGGUAAUAAGGUGUCAUAUGAACAAGUACCCAAGAGUACAUUAGGAGAACAGUAACCCAGAAAAAUAUAGUAUACAGCCAUGGUCUAAUAAAUGAGGUAAAAUAUGAUAUUUCCUUUGGCUGAUGCAUAGAAUUUAGUUAGGGGUUGGUCAAAAAUGUGGAUAUUUCAGGAAAGAGAGCUAUGUGAUUAAUUCAACCAACAAGUAUGUAUCUGUUGUUUCUGUUGCUUGCAAGGUACUUGGCAAAGUGAGGUGGAUCAUAAAAAUGCAUCACACAUAGACUCA